CGGGGUGUAGCGCAGCCCGGUUAGCGCACCUGGUUUGGGACCAGGGGGUCCCAGGUUCGAAUCCUGGUACCCCGA
rnacentral:tRNA from 2 species